rnacentral:rRNA from 1 species
CAGUCGCCACGGUAAUACGGAGGGUGCAAGCGUUAAUCGGAAUUACUGGGCGUAAAGCGUGCGUAGGCGGUUCGUUAAGUCUGUUGUGAAAGCCCCGGGCUCAACCUGGGAAUGGCAAUGGAUACUGGCGAGCUAGAGUGUGUCAGAGGAUGGUGGAAUUCCCGGUGUAGCGGUGAAAUGCGUAGAGAUCGGGAGGAACAUCAGUGGCGAAGGCGGCCAUCUGGGACAACACUGACGCUGAGGCACGAAAGCGUGGGGAGCAAACAGGAUUAGAUACCCCCGUAGUCCCUGUCUCUUAUAC